rnacentral:rRNA from 1 species
GAUGAACGCUAGCGGGAGGCCUAACACAUGCAAGCCGAGCGGUAGAGUUUCUUCGGAAACUUGAGAGCGGCGCACGGGUGCGUAACACGUGUGCAACCUACCCUUAUCUGGGGGAUAGCCUUUCGAAAGGAAGAUUAAUACCCCAUAAUAUAAUGAUUGGCAUCAAUUAUUAUUGAAAACUCCGGUGGAUAGAGAUGGGCACGCGCAAGAUUAGAUAGUUGGUGAGGUAACGGCUCACCAAGUCAAUGAUCUUUAGGGGUCCUGAGAGGGAGAUCCCCCACACUGGUACUGAGACACGGACCAGACUCCUACGGGAGGCAGCAGUGAGGAAUAUUGGACAAUGGGUGAGAGCCUGAUCCAGCCAUCCCGCGUGAAGGAUGACGGUCCUAUGGAUUGUAAACUUCUUUUGUACAGGGAUAAACCUACCCUCGUGAGGGUAGCUGAAGGUACUGUACGAAUAAGCACCGGCUAACUCCGUG